rnacentral:rRNA from 1 species
UACGUAGGCAGCGAGCGUUGUUCGGAAUUACUGGGCGUAAAGAGUGUGUAGGCGGUGCUCUAAGUUCGGUGUGAAAUCUCCCGCUUAACUGGGAGGGUGCGCCGGAAACUGGAGUGCUCGAGCGUGGGAGAGGAAAGCGGAAGUCCUGGUGUAGCGGUGAAAUGCGUAGAUAUCAGGAGGAACACCUGCGGUGUAGACGGCUUUCUGGACCAUUGCUGACGCUGAGACACGAAAGCGUGGGUAGCAAACAGG